CUACCGGUUCUCGUUAGAUCACCGAAGUCAAGCAUCAUUGGGCGCGGUCAGUACUUGGGUGGGUGACCACCUGUGAACACCGCGUGC